rnacentral:rRNA from 1 species
GGAGUUAGCCGGUGCUUCUUCUGUGAGUGAUGUCCUUCCUGCCGGCUAUUAACCCGCAGGCCUUCUUCCUCACUGAAAGUGCUUUACAACCCGAAGGCCUUCUUCACACACGCGGCAUGGCUGGAUCAGGGUUGCCCCCAUUGUCCAAUAUUCCCCACUGCUGCCUCCCGUAGGAGUCUGGGCCGUGUCUCAGUCCCAGUGUGGCUGAUCAUCCUCUCAGACCAGCUACGGAUCGUCGCCUUGGUGAGCCGUUACCUCACCAACCAGCUAAUCCGACAUAGGCUCAUCCGAUAGCGCGAGGCCCGAAGGUCCCCCGCUUUCCCCCGUAGGGCGUAUGCGGUAUUAGCCUGGGUUUCCCCAGGUUAUCCCCCACUACCGGGGCAGAUUCCUAUGCAUUACUCACCCGUCCGCCGCUCGCCACCAGGGAGCAAGCUCCCCGUGCUGCCGCUCGACUUGCAUGUGUUAGGCCGUCGCCGCCACGCGUUCAAUCUGAACCAAGAUACAAACUACUGA